GCGGAUGACCGGGUGGCCGCCUCGAACCCAUGGGUUCGGGGAGGAAAGUCCGGACUCCAGGAAGUAACGGUGCCGGGUAACGCCCGGGCGGGGAACGGCGGGGCAACCUGCCGGGAACCCGACGGAAAGCGCCACAGAAAACAGACCGCCCCCGCAGGCCGGGGGUAAGGGUGAAACGGUGGGGUAAGAGCCCACCGGGGGGGCGGCAACGUCCUCCGCAUGGCAAGCCCCACCGGGAGCAAUGCCGAAUAGGGGUCCCAUCGGCCGCUUCCGCCAGGGACCCGGGUUGGCAGCUCGAGCCCGUCGGCAACGGCGGGCCCAGAUGAAUGGCCACCACCCGGCUUGAAUGGCCGGGGACAGAAUCCGGCUUACAGGUCGUCCGCGCAU
rnacentral:RNase_P_RNA from 1 species